AAAGAGGAACUGCCCCCCCCUCCCCCUCGCUACUGCCCAUCCUGUUAUCACGGGCAGUUUAUAGGGUGAACAGAAAGGCUGUCAGGCCCACCAUUGCCGAGGUCCAGUCAGCUUUUAUUGACUUAAUUCCUCGCACCGCAACAAUGUAAAGAGUGAUGUCACCUUUGAAUGCAUGAGAAUACCACUCCUCAUCAUCGCCGUAGGCCUGCUGUCCUGACCCUGGAGAGGCAAGCAAAAGAUAAAAAGAAAAGAAAAAGAAAGCAACUAAUAAGCAGGGGAAAGAUGGCGCCUAAGAUGUUAGGCAAUGUUUUUAAUACUCUCCCGGGAUUUGUGCAACAAAACGGCUCCGGGAUCAAGUUUAAAAAAUUGCUUUGACAUCAGAAACGCACUCAACAAAAGAGAGCGCGCGGGUGUUGGGGCAUGUGUUUCUGUGGAUCUUUUGGGUUGAAGUCAUGCAGAAGGAGUGAACCUCAAAUGAUCCAUUUUGUUCCAUUCUCUUUGCACUUCUUUUGGCCUCGGGGAAAUUAGUGGUGAUUUUUGUCUCAAGGGCGAUAGUUCAACAGUGAUUUGCUAGGUAU